GUGAAUCAUCGAAUUUUUGAACGCAAAUUGCACUUUCUGGUAUUCCGGAGAGUAUGCCUGUUUGAGGGUCAGUUAAAUAAAAAUCGGUGUUGUUGCUGCCUUUCGUGGUGACGCGUCGGGAUUGGGUCGUCUUACCUUCGGUUAAGUUACUUAAAAUUUUUGCAUGAUUUUCGAACGUAUUUAUAUCGCUUACGUACGUUUGAGAUAUCGAAUGCUUAUUAGGUUCGGUCAUUACCUUGUUUCGCGCCUAUAAUUUUUCAUUAAAUGACCUCAAAGCAG
rnacentral:misc_RNA from 1 species